rnacentral:rRNA from 1 species
UACGUAGGGUGCGAGCGUUGUCCGGAAUUAUUGGGCGUAAAGAGCUUGUAGGCGGUCUGUCGCGUCUGCUGUGAAAAUCCGGGGCUCAACCCCGGACUUGCAGUGGGUACGGGCAGACUAGAGUGUGGUAGGGGAGACUGGAAUUCCUGGUGUAGCGGUGGAAUGCGCAGAUAUCAGGAGGAACACCGAUGGCGAAGGCAGCUCGCUGGGACGUUACUGACACUGAGGCGCGAAAGCGUGGGGAUCAAACAGG